GAAAAGGAGUGGGUGGUGGGGAUAUGUGUGGUAGGGUCUCUGGCUUAGGAAGCUGAGUCUCCGUAGUGCCAUUCAUACAGAUGGAAUGAGGAAGAAGCAGUUUCAUGGGAAAGUAGUAAAUUUGAUUGAGUAACAAGAGCUUGGGAGAUCCAAAAGAGAGCUGGGUUUGCAGCUCAGGAGUCCAGGAGAGAGUCAGACUGAAAACAUAAGUCCAUGGAUAGUCAUUGAAGCCACAGGAGUGAAGAUCACCUGUGGGAAACACAGAUGGAAGAGAACGUUCCAGCAAUGAAGCAUAGUCUAUACAAUUAAUUGCUGCAAAGAGCUCAGAACAGAGUGAUCUGUGAGAUCUUCCCGCUACUCCCAUGUCGGGAGAGAGAGAGAAUGAAGACCCAUUGCUGUAGAGGAACAAACUGAACGUGUUGAAGGUCCUGCAAGGCCAGUGUGGCUGGAACGCAGACACAACGCCAGGAGGAACAGGAGAUGGCGCUGAAAAGAGAGGCAGGAGUCAGAUCUCAAGGGAACUGUCACUGCAGUGUUGCAGACCUCUUUGAAUACACCAUGAGCACUGUGGAUUCUCGCCUCUG